UACGUAGGUGGCAAGCGUUGUCCGGAUUUACUGGGCGUAAAGAGCGUGUAGGCGGCCAGACAGGUCCGUUGUGAAAACUCGAGGCUCAACCUCGAGAUGUCGAUGGAAACCGUCUGGCUAGAGUCCGGAAGAGGAGUGUGGAAUUCCUGGUGUAGCGGUGAAAUGCGCAGAUAUCAGGAAGAACACCUAUGGCGAAGGCAGCACUCUGGGACGGUACUGACGCUGAGACGCGAAAGCGUGGGGAGCGAACAGG
rnacentral:rRNA from 1 species